rnacentral:rRNA from 1 species
AGGAUUAACGCUGGCGACGUGCCUAACACAUGCAAGUCGAACGAGGUAGCAAUACCUAGUGGCAGACGGGUGAGUAACGCGUGGUCAACCUACCGUUGAGUGGGGGAUAACUAGCCGAAAGGUUAGCUAAUACCGCAUACGAGUCUCGGGGGCAUCCCUGGGCCUUAAAAGGAGCAAUCCGCUCGAUGACGGGACCGCGUCCCAUUAGCUAGAUGGUGGGGUAAUGGCCUACCAUGGCUCCGAUGGGUAGCUGGUUUGAGAGAGCGACCAGCCACACUGGGACUGAGAAACGGCCCAGACUCCUACGGGAGGCAGCAGUGAGGAAUUUUCCGCAAUGGGCGAAAGCCUGACGGAGCGACGCCGCGUGUGGGAAGAAGGCCUUCGGGUCGUAAACCACUGUCGAAGGGACGAUAAUGACGGUACCCUUGGAGGAAGCCCCGGCUAACUACGCGCCAGCAGCCGC